AGCGAACGCUGGCGGCAGGCCUAACACAUGCAAGUCGAACGAAGUCUUCGGACUUAGUGGCGGACGGGUGAGUAACACGUGGGAACGUGCCUUUAGGUUCGGAAUAACUCAGGGAAACUUGUGCUAAUACCGAAUGUGCCCUUCGGGGGAAAGAUUUAUCGCCUUUAGAGCGGCCCGCGUCUGAUUAGCUAGUUGGUGAGGUAAAGGCUCACCAAGGCUACGAUCAGUAGCUGGUCUGAGAGGAUGACCGGCACAUUGGGACUGAGACACGGCCCAAACUCCUACGGGAGGCAGCAGUGGGGAAUCUUGCGCAAUGGGCGAAAGCCUGACGCAGCCAUGCCGCGUGGAUGAUGAAGGUCUUAGGAUUGUAAAAUCCUUUCACCGGUGAAGAUAAUGACUGUAGCCGGAGAAGAAGCCCCGGCUAACUUCGUGCCAGCCGCCGCGGUAAAAC
rnacentral:rRNA from 1 species